GAGGGUGUAGCUCAGUGGUAGAGCACAUGCUUAGCAUGCACUAGGCCCUGGGUUCAAUCCCCAGUACCUCCA
rnacentral:tRNA from 1 species